rnacentral:rRNA from 1 species
UAACACUUUUUUAUUCAUGAAUUUGGUGAAGUCGUAACAAGGUAACCGUAGGGGAACAUGCGGUUGGAUCACCUCCUUACCUUAAAGAACUGU